rnacentral:rRNA from 1 species
CACGUAGGGGGCAAGCGUUGUCCGGAUUUAUUGGGCGUAAAGGGUGCGUAGGCGGCGCGGUAAGUCGGGUGUGAAAUCUCGGAGCUUAACUCCGAAACUGCAUUCGAUACUGCCGUGCUUGAGGACUGGAGAGGAGACUGGAAUUUACGGUGUAGCGGUGAAAUGCGUAGAUAUCGUAAGGAAGACCAGUGGCGAAGGCGGGUCUCUGGACAGUUCCUGACGCUGAGGCACGAAGGUCAGGGGAGCAAACGGG